ACAGUUUCUCUCUGUCCCUUUCUGGAGCUGUGUUCGGCCGGGGCAAGAACACCGCCGGGCAACUGAACCUGGGGACACAACAAACAGAUGUGCUCCAGCUCCUGUUGAUUGCCUGAAUCUGAAGAAGACUGUUUUGAUUUCAUGUGGAGGAGAACAUACUGUCGUUCUGACAAAGGGAAGUGUGGUGUUCACAUUUGGCUCAGGCCGCUAUGGACAGCUUGCACACAACUCUCUCCGAGAUGAACUACAACCUCAAGUGGUGGGGCAACUUUGUGGAUUAAAGGUGACCCAGAUAGCCUGUUGAAGACACCACACAUAAGCAUUUGUGAGGCCUUCCAAUAAGAUCUACUCAUUUGGGUGCGGAGAGCAAGGGCAGCUGGGAAAUGGAGUAAAGAUUGAUCAGUCUGUGCCCCUUCCAGUACAACUGCCAGACCAGAUUGAUGACCAGAAAAUUGAACACAUUUUUGCUGGAGGAAACCAUUCCUUUGCGUUGUGCACUCUUGGUCAGGAAAUCACAAAAAUGUUUUCUUCUGCAUCAUGUUUAAAUGGGAGCUUUCUUGAUAAAAGUAGUGACAAACAUUUCCAAACCUCACCUAAACAGUCUGGCCUGGAUUUGUCUCACCGGAAGCUGGCGAAAAAGGACAACGUUUUGAGGUUGAAGCUGUUGUCCAGCACACACUGCUUCCCUCCCUGUAUGAGGAGCCCAUUGGAGUGGAGGGCUUGAGGGUCUACCUGGUUCUCCCUGAGCCCUGGAGGGUCCUUCACAAACAGCACAGAUGGACAGAUCUCACCGAACCCCUCUUUUACGCUGCUGCUACUCUCUGUUCAUCAUAUAUGCAUAGUCACUUUAACUAUACAUUCAUGUACAUACUACCUCAAUUGGCCCGACCAACCAGUGCUUGGCUAACCGGCUAUCUGCAUUGUGUCCUACCACAUGCCAACCCCUGUUUUUGCGCUACUGCUACUCUCUGUUCAUCAUAUCUGCAUAGUCACUUUAACUAUACCUACAUGUACUGUACAUGCUACCUCAAUAAUCCUGACUAACCAGUGUCUGUAUAUAGCCUUGCUACUGUUAUUUUCAAAUGUCUUUUUACUGUUGUUUUAUUUCUUUACUUAUCUACACACACCUACACACAUACUUGUUUUUUUUCUCGCACUAUUGGUUAGAGCCUGUAAGUAUGCAUUUCACUGUAAGGUCUACACCUGUUGUUUUCGGCGCACGUGACAAAUAAACUUUGAUUUGCUGCUAUCCUCAGACUGCACCCCAACAAGCUGCAGGUCCUCGGUAAUGUUGCCCUCCAUUUAAAUUGUUUAAAGUGUGUCACCCCAAAUUCAACGAAUCAACAAUAACGUAGUCGUAAAUCUGUUUGUGCUGUUUCCAACUUCUUUUGUCCUUGUUCUUUCGCUGUCUGGCAGAUUUAGACUAGGCAAAACCAGUGAUUAUUUUUAUUGAGUGUGGUAUUCCUGGGCUAAAACUAAAUGUGUACACUGUCGUGUUGCCCCUGGAAUGAUAGUGAAGUAGACCAAAUUCUAUACCCCCACAAAAUAGUUUGAGAAAGUAAUCUGUGUGUUACCAUGUCCUGUCGGUGACUGCUGGUCCGCAUUGAAGCCCUCUCUCAUGACCAAGCACAUUGGGGUGUGGAAGAAGGCCAUGUCUGUGAUUUUGACAAGGAAACGUAUUCUACGCACCUGUGACCCAAGGAUCAAACACCACACAAUUUCCCCCCCGAUGUUCACAACAUGGACAGCUAUUUAUUUAUGAUACACAUUGAAUUGCACAUUUCCAUUCAGUGUGCAAUUAAUGAAGUAGCUGUCUAACCCCGGGGUCUCAAGCGAAGCUGGGCGCCAUUUCACAAGAACAACUGCCUUAUAGUCGCACGCAGUUAGCUGUUAGGAUGUUACUCCAUCUCCUCUUUUCCGUGGAUGGAUUCCAAUAGCUCCUAAGAGAGCUUUAGGCUCUGUGGCCGCUCACAGCCUUGAUCUCUCUGGCCUCCAGACCUGCAUCAGAGAGCAGCUGGAUGUUAGUCGUCUUGAUGCAGUGGUUGGUAUACCUACGGGAUGUGCCGGCCUCCUAGAGAGAGAGAACGAGCAAUUAAUAAUAGAAAUAUGACAAUGAUUCUAUUAAUGUUUAUUCUAUUCAUAUGACUGUAUAGCAGCCUAGCUAUUUGAACAAAAUGUUAUACCUUGCACAGACAGAGCAGCAUUGAUGAAAGGGUGUUGAGUCCCAUUGGCUCUGGUAUACCACACCGUUGUCGUUGGAUAGCUGUCGUCUGGUUAACAAUGAGAAUUCAAAACCAUCCUUCAUAAAACUAUAUAUGGCAGAAAUGUCACCUAUCAGAGGGCAAGAUGGAGCCUAUUAGACAAGUGUCCUGGGGUUGAUUUGGGAUUCAUGGUGAACAUGUUCUGCAACCUGGCUAAAAUGUUGUUUUGAUACAUUGAUUUGACAAAUGGUUUGAAUGGUGUCAAGUGUCUAUUGCUUCACCAUAUAUUAAUUGAGGGCAUUUCCCCCCUAGAACACUGUGUAUAAAGGAGAGUACCAUGCUGGGCAUCCCAACAUCGUCACAUUCUGGGAGGUGUUUGAGGAACUGACAGAGGAUCAAAAGAAAGCGUUCCUGUUGUUCCUGACUGGCUGUGAUCGUGUGCCCAUCCUGGGUAUGAACCAGAUCAGGAUGAGGGUCCAAACCCUUCUCAACUCCUCCCAACAGCAUUUCCCAGAGGCGCUGACCUGUCACUCUCCAAAGAGACACUACAGAGCAGGCUUAUAGAAGCUGUUGGCCACAACAGAGGCUUCAGGAAUGAAUAAUGGGUGUUUUGUGUUGCUGCUGUGUAUAGUCCUGUGUUCAUCUUUUCAUUGUUCCAUAGUUGGGUUUAAGAUUUGGAUUAUUUUAAUGUAGGGUUGUAUUUCAAAUCCUAACUUGAGAUCUGUACAGUACUAUGACAUUAUCAUAUUUCAUUCAUCAAAUUUUAUUAAAACAUUAAUAAAUCAAAAAGUACA